GAUGAACGCUGGCGGCGUGCCUAAUACAUGCAAGUCGAGCGAACAGACGAGGAGCUUGCUCCUCUGACGUUAGCGGCGGACGGGUGAGUAACACGUGGAUAACCUACCUAUAAGACUGGGAUAACUUCGGGAAACCGGAGCUAAUACCGGAGAAUAUAUUGAACCGCAUGGUUCAAUAGUGAAAGACGGUUUUGCUGUCACUUAUAGAUGGAUCCGCGCCGCAUUAGCUAGUUGGUAAGGUAACGGCUUACCAAGGCAACGAUGCGUAGCCGACCUGAGAGGGUGAUCGGCCCCACUGGAACUGAGCCACGGUCCAGACUCCUACGGGAGGCAGCAGUAGGGAAUCUUCCGCAAUGGGCGAAAGCUUGACGGAGCAACGCCGCGUGAGUGAUGAAGGUCUUCGGAUCGUAAAACUCUGUUAUUAGGGAAGAACAAAUGUGUAAGUAACUAUGCACGUCUUGACGGUACCUAAUCAGAAAGCCACGGCUAACUACGUG
rnacentral:rRNA from 1 species